GUCGCUGUCGGUUGAUAUCGACGGCGCCAUGAACCCGAGUCAUGAGUCAUUGAAAAGGCUCUGGUGAGAUGCGUCAUGACUUUGGUCUCGUGAUGAGAAAUAUUGCCCCUUUCGAAUGCAGAAUACCCGGGCUAGGCUGAGCAUCACAGACUCAUGACAUGUAUAUAGCUUUACGGCACAACCUUUCUUUAAACAACAGACUACAGGCGAAGGAGCGCUUCCGGAAAAUUCGACGUCAGUUGCACUGCAGUCGCUAUCUGUAUCCCGUGCUCAUUGCCCCCGCUCAACUACAGCAAGCAUCUUGCUCGCUAAACACACCUCUUGAGCCGUCUUCCUAAAGCUAAUCUCGCAAAGCGAAAUGGCGCCACUUCUUCCAUAUUUCCCCAUUCCAGCCAAAAUGCUGGAAUUUCAGAAGAGAACGAUUUCAGUUAAUGGCCUACACAUCCUUUACACGAUGGGGAGGAGAGAGACCAUCCCCGAAAGCAACGUGAAAGGAUUUCAUGGUUUCAGCUUUCGCACAUUUGCAAUCACUCGAACUAUAGAGAAGAGGUUUAUAAUAGGAACUACGCUUAAAGGCGCAUAUGCCCGCACGGAACUGCUACAUGGAGAUCCUCGCUAUUUUAACAAGUCAUACAGCGCCUACAGUCCUUCCUACAGCUUUCACAAGAAAGUCCACGUAAAAAAGGACGAAUAUCACUGGCGCUGAAAUGCAGAAACGAUAGUGCUCGCCAAAUUUGGAACUACUUCUUCGAUUCGAAAAUCGGUGAUGUUAAUUUCGAUUACACAGGUGAGUUGGC